rnacentral:tRNA from 1 species
GAGCUGGUGCGCCGCCUGGACUUCAACCUCGCGGA